rnacentral:rRNA from 1 species
GACGAACGCNGGCGGCGUGCCUAAUACAUGCAAGUAGAACGCUGAAGGAGGAGCUUGCUCUUCUGGAUGAGUUGCGAACGGGUGAGUAACGCGUAGGUAACCUGCCUGGUAGCGGGGGAUAACUAUUGGAAACGAUAGCUAAUACCGCAUAAGAGUAGAUGUUGCAUGACAUUUGCUUAAAAGGUGCAAUUGCAUCACUACCAGAUGGACCUGCGUUGUAUUAGCUAGUUGGUGAGGUAACGGCUCACCAAGGCGACGAUACAUAGCCGACCUGAGAGGGUGAUCGGCCACACUGGGACUGAGACACGGCCCAGACUCCUACGGGAGGCAGCAGUAGGGAAUCUUCGGCAAUGGACGGAAGUCUGACCGAGCAACGCCGCGUGAGUGAAGAAGGUUUUCGGAUCGUAAAGCUCUGUUGUAAGAGAAGAACGAGUGUGAGAGNGGAAANUCACACNGNGACG